AUGGCUGUUUUUGGGGAGGCAGCUCCUUACCUCCGAAAGUCAGAAAAGGAGAGAAUUGAGGCCCAAAACAAGCCUUUUGAUGCCAAGACAUCUGUCUUUGUGGCUCAUCCUAUCCUUUCCUUUGUGAAAGGGACAAUCCAGAGCAGGGAAACAGGGAAGGUCACUGUCAAGACUGAAGCUGGGCAGACCCUGACCGUGAAAGAAGAUCAGGUCUUUUCCAUGAACCCUCCCAAGUAUGAUAAAAUCGAGGACAUGGCUAUGAUGACCCACCUCCACGGCUGCCGGGGUACAACCCGGAGGUGGGGUUGGCCUACCGAGGCAAGAAGGGCCAGGCGGGCCCUCCACACAUCUUCUCCAUCUCUGACAACGCCUAUCAGUUCAUGCUGACGGAUCGUGAGAACCAGUCCAUCCUGAUCACCGGAGAAUCCGGUGCAGGGAAGACUGUGAACACAAAGCGUGUCAUCCAGUACUUUGCAACAAUUGCAGCGAGUGGGGAGAAGAAGAAGGAAGAGCAGCAGUCAGGCAAAAUGCAGGGAACGCUUGAGGAUCAAAUCAUCAGCGCCAACCCACUGCUGGAGGCCUUUGGAAACGCCAAGACUGUGAGGAACGACAACUCCUCACGCUUUGGCAAAUUCAUCAGAAUCCACUUUGGGGCCACAGGCAAACUGGCUUCUGCUGACAUUGAAACCUAUCUGCUGGAGAAGUCCAGAGUCACUUUCCAGCUCAAGGCAGAAAGAAGUUACCACAUAUUUUAUCAGAUCACCUCCAACAAGAAGCCGGAGCUGAUUGAAAUGCUCCUCAUUACCACCAAUCCGUAUGACUACCCUUUUGUGAGUCAAGGUGAGAUCACUGUUCCCAGCAUUGAUGACAAGGAGGAGCUGAUGGCUACAGAUAGUGCCAUUGACAUCCUGGGCUUCACUGCUGAUGAAAAGACUGCCAUCUACAAGCUGACAGGGGCUGUCAUGCACUACGGGAACUUGAAGUUCAAGCAGAAACCAAGAGAGGAGCAGGCAGAGCCAGAAGGCACAGAAGUUGCUGACAAGGCUGCCUACCUGAUGGGUCUGAAUUCAGCUGACAUGCUCAAGGCACUGUGCUACCCUCGAGUCAAGGUUGGGAAUGAAUAUGUGACCAAGGGUCAAACUGCGCAGCAGGUGCACAAUGCUGUAGGUGCUCUUGCAAAGGCUGUCUAUGAGAGGAUGUUCUUGUGGAUGGUUGUCCGUAUCAACCAACAGCUGGAUACAAAGCAGCCUAGACAGUACUUCAUUGGUGUCCUGGACAUUGCUGGCUUCGAGAUCUUUGAUUUCAACAGCUUUGAGCAGCUGUGCAUCAACUUCACCAAUGAGAAACUGCAACAGUUCUUCAACCACCACAUGUUUGUGCUGGAGCAGGAGGAGUACAAGAAGGAAGGAAUUGAAUGGACAUUCAUUGACUUUGGGAUGGACCUGGCUGCCUGCAUUGAGCUGAUUGAAAAGCCCAUGGGCAUCUUCUCCAUCCUGGAAGAGGAGUGCAUGUUCCCCAAGGCAACUGACACCUCUUUCAAGAACAAGCUCUAUGACCAGCAUCUGGGCAAGUCCAGCAACUUCCAGAAGCCCAAGCCUACCAAAGGGAAGGUUGAGGCCCACUUCUCCCUCAUACACUAUGCUGGCACAGUCGACUACAACAUCACUGGCUGGCUUGAGAAGAACAAGGACCCCCUGAACGAAACUGUCAUUGGGUUGUACCAGAAAUCAUCACUGAAAACAUUGGCCUUACUCUUUGCCAACUAUGGUGGAGCAGAAGCAGAGGCUAGUGCUGGCAAGAAAGGUAGCAAGAAGAAAGGUUCUUCCUUCCAGACUGUCUCAGCUCUUUUCCGGGAGAAUUUAAACAAGCUGAUGACCAAUCUGCGAAGCACCCACCCCCAUUUUGUACGCUGCAUCAUCCCAAAUGAAACAAAAACACCUGGUGCCAUGGAGCAUGAACUGGUUCUUCACCAGCUGCGGUGUAACGGCGUGCUGGAAGGGAUCAGAAUUUGCAGGAAAGGAUUUCCCAAUAGAGUCCUGUAUGCCGAUUUUAAACAGAGAUACAAAGUAUUAAAUGCAAGUGCUAUCCCAGAGGGACAGUUCAUUGACAGCAAGAAGGCUUGUGAGAAACUUCUUGGAUCAAUUGAUAUAGACCACACUCAAUACAAAUUUGGUCACACCAAGGUGUUCUUCAAAGCUGGGCUGGUAGGCCUUUUGGAAGAGAUGAGAGAUGAGAAGCUGGCACAGCUCAUCACUCGCACACAGGCCAGGUGCAGGGGCUUCCUGAUGAGAGUGGAGUACCAGAGAAUGGUGGAGAGGAGAGAGUCCAUUUACUGCAUCCAGUACAACAUUCGUGCAUUCAUGAAUGUCAAGCACUGGCCCUGGAUGAAGCUGUUCUUCAAGAUCAAGCCCUUGCUGAAGAGUGCAGAAUCUGAGAAGGAGAUGGCCAACAUGAAACAAGAGUUUGAGAAAACCAAGGAAGAGCUUGCAAAGUCUGAGGCAAAGAGGAAAGAGCUGGAGGAGAAAAUGGUGAAACUGGUGCAGGAGAAAAAUGAUUUGCAGCUCCAAGUGCAGGCUGAAGCUGAUGCUUUGGCUGAUGCUGAGGAAAGAUGUGACCAGCUCAUCAAAACCAAAAUCCAGCUGGAGGCCAAAGUUAAAGAGGUGACUGAAAGGGCUGAGGAUGAGGAGGAAAUUAAUGCUGAGCUGACAGCCAAGAAGAGGAAACUGGAGGAUGAAUGUUCAGAACUGAAGAAAGAUAUUGAUGACCUUGAGUUAACACUGGCCAAGGUUGAGAAGGAAAAACAUGCCACCGAAAACAAGGUGAAAAACCUCACAGAGGAGAUGGCAGCCCUGGAUGAGACCAUUGCCAAGCUGACAAAAGAGAAGAAAGCCCUCCAAGAGGCCCAUCAGCAGACACUGGAUGACCUGCAGGCAGAAGAGGACAAAGUCAAUACUCUGACCAAAGCCAAGACCAAGCUGGAGCAGCAAGUGGACGAUCUGGAAGGGUCCCUGGAGCAAGAGAAGAAACUGCGCAUGGACCUUGAGAGAGCUAAGAGGAAACUCGAAGGAGACCUGAAGCUGGCCCAUGACAGCAUAAUGGAUCUGGAAAAUGAUAAGCAGCAGCUGGAUGAGAAACUGAAGAAGAAAGACUUUGAAAUCAGCCAGAUCCAGAGCAAAAUCGAGGAUGAGCAAGCCCUGGGCAUGCAACUACAGAAGAAGAUCAAGGAGCUGCAGGCUCGCAUUGAGGAACUGGAGGAGGAAAUUGAGGCAGAGCGAACUUCUCGGGCAAAAGCAGAGAAGCAUCGGGCUGACCUCUCGCGGGAGCUAGAGGAGAUCAGCGAGCGCCUGGAAGAAGCAGGAGGGGCUACCGCAGCUCAGAUUGAGAUGAACAAGAAGCGUGAGGCAGAGUUUCAGAAGAUGCGUCGCGACCUCGAAGAGGCCACGCUGCAGCACGAAGCCACAGCUGCCACCCUGCGGAAGAAGCAUGCAGACAGCACAGCUGAGCUUGGGGAGCAGAUCGACAACCUGCAACGAGUGAAGCAGAAGCUGGAGAAGGAGAAGAGUGAGCUGAAGAUGGAGAUUGACGACUUGGCCAGUAACAUGGAGUCUGUCUCCAAAGCCAAGGCAAACCUGGAGAAGAUGUGCCGCACUCUGGAGGACCAACUAAGUGAAUUUAAAACAAAGGAGGAGCAGAAUCAGCGCAUGAUCAGCGAUCUCAGUGCUCAAAGAGCUCGUCUUCAGACAGAAUCUGGUGAAUAUGCACGCCAGGUGGAGGAAAAAGAUGCUCUGAUUUCUCAGCUGUCUAGAGGGAAACAGGCUUUCACCCAGCAGAUAGAAGAAUUGAAGCGGCAACUAGAGGAAGAGAUAAAGGCCAAGAAUGCUCUGGCCCAUGGCUUGCAGUCAGCACGCCACGACUGUGACUUGCUCCGGGAGCAAUAUGAGGAGGAGCAGGAAGCCAAGGGGGAGCUGCAGCGUGCCCUGUCCAAGGCCAACAGCGAAGUGGCCCAGUGGAGAACCAAAUAUGAGACAGACGCUAUUCAGCGCACGGAGGAGCUGGAGGAGGCCAAGAAGAAGCUGGCACAGCGCCUGCAGGAUGCAGAGGAACACGUUGAAGCCGUCAAUGCCAAAUGUGCCUCCCUGGAAAAGACCAAGCAGAGGCUGCAGAACGAAGUGGAGGACCUGAUGAUUGACGUGGAGCGAUCGAAUGCUGCAUGCGCAGCUCUGGAUAAGAAGCAGAGGAACUUUGACAAGAUCCUGGCAGAAUGGAAGCAGAAGUAUGAGGAAACACAGACUGAGCUGGAAGCUUCCCAGAAGGAGGCUCGCACUCUCAGCACGGAGCUGUUUACGAUGAAGAAUGCCUAUGAGGAGUCCUUGGACCACCUGGAAACGCUGAAGCGUGAGAACAAGAACUUGCAGCAGGAGAUUUCUGACCUCACGGAGCAGAUUGCUGAGGGAGGAAAGGCGAUUCAUGAGCUGGAGAAAGUCAAGAAGCAGAUUGAGCAGGAGAAAUCUGAAAUCCAGGCUGCCUUGGAGGAAGCUGAGGCCUCCCUAGAACACGAAGAGGGCAAGAUCCUGCGCCUCCAGCUUGAGCUCAACCAGGUGAAGUCUGAGAUUGACAGGAAGAUAGCAGAGAAAGAUGAGGAGAUCGACCAGAUGAAGAGAAACCACCUCAGAAUUGUGGAGUCCUUGCAGAGCAGCCUGGACGCUGAGAUCAGGAGCACGAAUGAAGCCCUGCGGCUGCAGGAAGCCCGCAAUGCUGAAGAGAAGGCCAAGAAGGCCAUCACAGAUGCAGCCAUGAUGGCAGAAGAGCUGAAGAAAGAGCAGGACACCAGCGCCCACCUGGAGAGGAUGAAGAAGAACCUGGACCAGACGGUGAAGGACCUGCAGCACCGUCUGGAUGAGGCUGAGCAGUUGGCACUGAAGGGAGGCAAGAAGCAAAUCCAGAAGCUGGAGGCCAGAGUGCGAGAGCUGGAAGGGGAGGUUGAUGCUGAGCAGAAGCGCAGCGCUGAAGCCGUGAAGGGUGUGCGCAAGUACGAGAGGAGGGUGAAGGAGCUGACCUACCAGUCUGAGGAAGACCGAAAGAAUAUUCUCAGGCUCCAGGAUCUGGUGGACAAGCUGCAAAUGAAGGUGAAAUCCUACAAGAGACAAUCUGAAGAGGCUGAGGAGCUGUCCAAUGUCAACCUCUCCAAGUUCCGCAAGAUCCAGCAUGAGCUGGAGGAAGCCGAGGAGCGGGCUGACAUUGCAGAGUCGCAGGUCAACAAGCUCCGAGUCAAAAGCCGGGAGUUUCAUAGGAAGAUAGAAGAGGAAGAGUGAGGAUGUCAUGAGGCAGCAAAGUGACCUGAGGGCUGCACAAAAUGUGAACCUCUCGGUCACUUUCUUCUGCAAUUAGUCUUUGUACCCAUAUCAAUGUCUAGACAAUAAAGACUGUAGA